GGGCACGUGGCUCAAUGGUAGAGCGUUCGACUUCAUUAUUAAAUGUCGCGGGUUCGAAUCCCACGGGGUCCA
rnacentral:tRNA from 1 species